AAGAGAAUGCAGCUGGCCCCCGAGCAAGCCCUCCCUCCAUCGCCUGCUGGCUCCUUCCCCCCCUGGCAGAGGACUGCCAACUCCAGCAGGGAUUUUGAAGAGGAAAUCAUUAUCCAAGCACAUCUUCCUCAAAUCUGCCUCCUACUGUCGCAUGUGAGAGCAUCUGAAGGUAGCGGCCAGAGCAGCUGUGGUUCCGAGUGCAGCGCUCCCCACUGGGCUCUUCCUCCCAGAGCAAGGCUGAGCCCCUGGUAGGAAUUAAGACCGGAGGUAAGGUGCGUGUGUCGACUGCCUUGCCUCUGCUCUUUUGGCUGGCUAAAUGGAAAUGAUUCACUCGCUGGUCUGUGCAGAACCCUUGUCC
rnacentral:lncRNA from 1 species